GCUGGGCAUGCUGGCACAUGCCUGUAAUCCCAGUGGCUUGGGAGGCUGAGAAAGGAGGAUCAUGAGUUCAAAGCCAGCUUCAGCAACAGCGAGGUGCUAAGCAACUCAGUGAGACUCUGUCUCUA
rnacentral:sRNA from 1 species